UACGGAAGGCAGCAGGGGGAAUAUUGCACAAUGGGCGCAAGCCUGAUGCAGCCAUGCCGCGUGUAUGAAGAAGGCCUUCGGGUUGUAAAGUACUUUCAGUCGUGAGGAAGGUGUUAAGGUUAAUAACCUUAGCAAUUGACGUUAGCGACAGAAGAAGCACCGGCUAACUCCGUGCCAGCAGCCGCGGUAAUACGGAGGGUGCGAGCGUUAAUCGGAAUUACUGGGCGUAAAGGGCACGCAGGCGGUUAAUUAAGUUGGAUGUGAAAUCCCCGGGCUUAACCUGGGAAUGGCAUUCAAGACUGGUUAGCUAGAGUCUUGUAGAGGGGGUAGAAUUCCAUGUGUAGCGGUGAAAUGCGUAGAGGAUGUGGAGGAAUACCGGUGGCGAAGGCGGCCCCUGGACAAAGACUGACGCUCAUGUGCGAAAGCGUGGGGAGCAAAC
rnacentral:rRNA from 1 species